UAGUUGGAAUCUGAUGUGCAGCUCUUGGG
rnacentral:piRNA from 1 species